UUCAGCUCUUCUCUGAUCCACAUCUCCAAGCUAGCUGGAGAAGCCAGAGAAAUACCUCAGUUUCUCGACCACUCCCCACCCCUCAACUGGCAGAUGGAAGCUGGGAAUUGCUCUGAUUCCAGGCCUUUCUUUCAGGUGCGCACUGUGGGCAAUAACGGGUUAAUCCGCCCGCACACCCCGAGAACCUGCCGAACCUCACUAGAGAUAUAAUUACAGAGAAUCACUGCUCUGGCCUUCUGGGAAGGGUUUUUGUCAGAAGUUGCCUGGGAUACCUGUGACCCUGUCGCUUCAAAGCAUCGGCCUCCUCAUUUGAACACAGGCACUGAAGGAUCUCAGAUAAAAUGAUAACCUGUUCCAUUUUUGCAUCGAAGCAACUCACCCGGGACAGGUACCAAUGAGCCAAGACCCGCCAUGGGCAAAGAAAACUCAGGACGGUCAACCUGGAAGGAACCCUUCCUCCCAUGAGCUUCCAGAAUGGUGUGCAGUGUUCGGGACUUAGAAUGUACUCAGCAAACACUUGUGGAAACCCGGGUUUUCCAGCACUUACACCAAGCUUCGUUUCUAUCAUCUCAAAAUAGGAAAAUUCAAGGAGAGAGACUCAAUGCAUCUUCAGCAGGAGCCCUUCAGAUGACUGUGCCACCAAAGCUGCGAUUACCCCGAGAGGACAGCUCCAGCUUUGUGAGCUAUUCUGAGUACCACAGGCUCUCCCUCUCUGGUCACCCUAACCACUUUUGAGAGUCAUACAACCCUUACCAUUGGGUCCAUGAGCCAGCUGGGUGUCUGGCAAAGAGGUAGGGGAAAGCUAACAGACAGGAGAGAGGAGGAAGUGGGGGGG
rnacentral:lncRNA from 1 species